GGUUCCGUGGUCCAGUGGUCAAGACUCAUCGUUGUGGUACACGAGACACAUUCUCCCCUAAACAUGGGGACAUAUCUUAACCUACUCGCUACAUCCGAUGCAACCCGUGUUCGAUUCACGGCGGAGCCA